UGAGCCUCCUGCAUGUAACCUGUUUUCUCUGAGCAUUGUUUCAGGUGGGCGUGUCUGAGAGCCACCAGCUGCAGCUAAUCCUGUCAUCACGGUCCAGGGGAUUUAAGGAGCAGUGUGACACUUCACUUCGCCAGAUGAUUGCUCAGUUUUGGGUAGCUCUAGCCUUUGACCUGUUUUGAGCCUCUUUUUUCUAGUUCCAGUUUGUUUAUCAGAUCUUGUAAAAUAUUUGCUGGAUUUCCUGUCGACCAGAAAAGACCCUGACUACUCUUCCCUGCUCUGGUCCAGGUUCUCACUCCACACUCCACUAUCUCCAUACCAGCUCGGAUUCCUGUACUUCAGAUCACGCUGUCUCCUCCCCUGGCCGCCCGCUCUCAGCCGCUCACCUGCCCUCGCCAAGCCUCCGCUCCUACCUCCUCUCUGGUUCAACAGUUCCUUCUCCUCCUGGAGCCUUCCUGCUAACCCGGACCUGACCUAGCCCUUCCUGAGGCCCUCAUCACUAUCUGCUAUCAAAUCCUCUCCUGGAGUCUUGCUGCCAGCCUGCACGUCGUCUGUUCCCGUUCCUCUCAUUAAAUAAUAAAGAACGUUUUACUUA